CGCAUCUGUGCAUGCAGCAUAUCAAUAAGCGGAGGAAAAGAAACUAACAAGGAUUCCCCUAGUAACGGCGAGUGAAGCGGGAAGAGCUCAAAUUUGAAAUCUUAAAGGGUUUCCCUUUACGAAUUGUAGUUUAAAGAAGUGUUUUCUGUUGAGGUUUUGGUAAAAGUUCUUUGGAAUAGGACAUCAUAGAGGGUGAGAAUCCCGUAUUUGACCUUUACUUUCAACUUUGUGAUACACUUUCAAAGAGUCGGAUUGUUUGGGAAUGCAGUCCAAAAUGGGUGGUAAAUUUCAUCUAAAGCUAAAUAUUGGCGAGAGACCGAUAGCGAACAAGUACCGUGAGGGAAAGAUGAAAAGAACUUUGAAAAGAGAGUUAAACAGUACGUGAAAUUGUCAAAAGGGAAGCGUUUGACACCAGUGUUGUUUUUCUGAAAAUCAAUUAAAGAACUGUUUAUGCUAAGUUGUUUAGACUUUAUCAGCUAUCUGCUUAGUUUUGAGCUUUUCUUUAAUGCACUUUUCAGUUAACAAGUCAACAUCAAUUUCUUUUGCUGUAAAAAAGCUUGAGGAAGGUGGCUUGAGAUUCGUCUUAAGUGUUUAUAGCCUCUUGCCUAUGCAGUCGGAGAGAUUGAGGUCUGCAGCGUAGAUCCUUCGGGGCUAAAUGCAUUUGUGCUAAGUUAUAGCAUUUUAUAGACAACUUGUUGACUAUGAUUUGUCUUGUAGCUUACUCGCUUAUGUUAUUUUACCUACGCUUAGGAUGUUGAAUCUGUGCGAGACUA
rnacentral:rRNA from 1 species